ensembl:lncRNA
GUAUUGUUGUGAUCCACUUCGUAGCUGGCUGGUUCGGUUCAUGGCUUAUACAGUUUUUGCCUAUUGCUUGAACACUAUAGACACAUGCUUAAACACAGUGUAACCAUACCUUAAACAAAAGCGCUGCAUUGCACUUCAGUUGCAAUUCUACAACACACUUGCUCCUGCACACUACACACUAUUUCAUACAUAAUUCACUUCGUUCAUAAAUGAAAUCUCAUGGGUACCAUUGGGAAAACACACCUGUUCACAAUACAAAACACACUGGGUGAUUGAAAACACUUAGACACACACCUGAAAACACUUCUUUACAAAACUGAUCACCAAUCAGCCAACCACAAAUAGGCCUCAGUUGAGCCAUUUCGAGAACUUUGAAAGCAUAGAGGCAGAGAAAGCAAGAGGUAGAGGCAGAGAAAGAGGAAGACAAAGAGAGAGAGGUGUAGGACAUGACACUAGGACACUAUGCACAGAACAAUAUUUCAGAUGAUAUUUGAGCAACGUUGGUGGAUCAUGUGAUAAAUCAUGGCCUGACAAUGAGGGAAGCUGGGCAGAGAGUCCACCCACAUCUAAGCCGGUUCACAGUUGCAUCCAUCAUAAGGAUAUUCAGACUGGAGAACAGGUAUGUCUUUAUCUCUCCACUCCAGACUGUAUCUACAGUACUGUACCGUAUCACAUUACUGUAUCACAUGUACUGUAUUGCAAGUUGGCUAGUGCACCUUUUGUAACAAAAAAUGGUAGUUUUGUGGAACAUACAGUACAGUAUAGUACAUAGCGCUGUACCAUUGAGAUGUUACAGUACUGUGUACAGUAUACAGUACUGUAAAAUAGAACCAAACCAAUAACAAUUUGUGUUUGCUUUUUUCUACACAAUGACUAGAAGACCUUCUGGGGUUGGACGGCAACGCCUGUUCACCCAACAGCAGGAACUUAACAUUUUGGAAAUGGUCAGAGCAAACAAUGCAAUCUGUCUCCAGCAGCUACAGGAACAAAUACUUGAAGAUAGGCAAGUAUUCAUCAACAUCAAUCGAGUAGUCAUAACCACAAUCAGACGUGUCUUGGUAAAGCUCAAAAUCACAUUGAAGCAAUUGUACAAGGUCCCAUUUGAGAGGAACUGUAUCAGGGUCAAAGGACUUCGACAAGAAUAUAUACAGAAAAUCUUGGACAUGGAUGUAGCUGCACAGCCUCAUGAAUUUAUUUACAUUGAUGAGGCUGGUUUCAACCUCAGCAAAACUGGAUGAUGGGGUCGUAAUAUAAUUGGCCAAAGGGCAAUUGUGCACCACCCGGGGCAGCGUGGGGGAAACAUCACAAUGUGUGCUGCCAUAAUCCUUCGAGGGCUACUACACCAUCAUGCCAAACUAGGUCCCUACAAUACGCAACAUAUACUCCCAUUUCUCGAUGCACUUCAUGAUGCAGUUGUACAGGACAGAUCAGAGCAGCCUAGGGUCAUUGUUGUCUGGGAUAAUGGUUCAUCAACCAUGAUCCAACCGAGACUGGUUCACCAACCAUGAUCAAUUUGAAGUUGUAUACUUGCCCCCUUACUCGCCAUUUCUAAACCCUAUCGGAGAAUUAUUUUCCUACUUGGAGAUGGCAUGUAUAUGACCACCAACCACAUGCCAGCAUGUCUCUUCUACAGGCAAUGGAAGAGGCAUGCGGAGACAUUGAGGUAAUGUCAAUCCAUGGAUGGAUUCGGGACACAAGGCGUUAUUUUCCCCGUUGCUUAGCAGGAGAAAAUAUCGCUUGUGACGUUGAUGAGAUCCUGUGGCCAGACCCAAACAGACGGCAGGAUCUGUAAUCCCACCCACGCACAAUUGGCCUGUUUUUCUGCAUUUACAGUAGUGUAUUCUGUGUUUUAUUUUUGUAUUAUUUUUGCAUUACUGCAUUUACUGUACUGUACUGUAAAGUAUAAUACCGUGAUGUGCACUAUUGAGUUGAUGUCAUUCGUAACCUUCCAGUACUUUCAUUUUUGGUUGUUGUGAAAACCUUUGUUGGAAAAAAAGAGAACAAAAACUAAGUGUUGCAUAAUUGAGCUUCACAGAAUGCUAACUGAUGAACUGAAUAAAAACAGUGAAAAUGAAAGACUGCA